rnacentral:misc_RNA from 1 species
CAGUUACGCACCACGAAGUUCACACUCGAUUUUUUCCCUCUCUCUUUCUUGAAUUUUUUAUUUUCCUGGAAAAUUCAAGCCCAAGGGGAGACAACUGCGUCAGAGACGAACCCGAUCAACAUUCAUCUCGUACACAUACAGAGGUAGGAAGAGAGAAGUCAAGAGCGUGUCAUUGAGAUUUGCGACGAGAGAGAAGAUCUCGAGCAGAUCAGGGUGAUUUAAAGCAGAGGCGGCGAGAAUUUAUUGAUAUGAUAUGAGAGCUUUUUAGAGAGAGAUUAACGCCGCUGGCAACUCUCUCUCUAUCCUCUUUUCUUACCCAUUUCUCUCUGACGCUAUAUUUUCAUACUCUGACGCCAUUUCUCCUUCCCUCCAUACAAGGCUGGUUUUUUUCUUUUAAGCUUUCCUGACUGUUUAAUUAUUAUUUCCCGCUAGUUUUUCCACAUCUACUUGAUUUUCUUACUUGAAUUUUUACUCUUUCCACUAUUCUCUUUCUCUGGGUUCGGUUGAGGGCACCCACCAUUGUUCUCUCUGGUUGGCUGUUGUGAGCGUAAUCAGACAUCAACGUGUCAUUAAGGGGAGGAAAUCAGUGGGGACAGCGCGAAAUUCGAGGUGUUUGUGUGAAGGCAGAGACUGUCUUAGUCCAAUGUAUAUUAUGGUCUGCUGGUGGUGUGUUUCAUAGGGAGGGACAGAUGGAAAUCUCCAUAAGAACCCGCCAUUUCUGGUCUGGGUUUUGAGAUUGUGCCUGGCUGGAGAAACGUCUCCAAAUUUGUCAUCUGAUAAAUAGGGAGAAUUGGUGCUGUGGUGGUAUGGGCAGUUUCAGACAAUACAGUGGCUUAGUUUGUAUACUUUUGUGAAGGUUCUAUUGUGGUUUUUGGCUAUUCGUUAGGGUAAUUUGGGGAUAGAAAAAAAAUGAAGUUUAUGAAGUUGGGGUCGAAGCCUGAUGCGUUUCAAGCAGAAGGCAAAUCCAUCAGGCAGGAUGCUGUUUCCAUUGUAUGAACUCAUCGUGAUCAAUGUGCUCAUGCAGGUAUGUGUCAUCCGAGCUGGCUACUGAUGUCACCAUAAAUGUUGGUGAAGUUAAGUUUUACCUCCACAAGUUUCCUAUCUUGUCAAAAAGUAAUCGCUUGCAAAAACUAGUGUUGAAAGCUAAUGAGGAGAAUUCUGAUGAAAUUAAUAUCCUUGAUUUUCCUGGUGGGCCAAAGGCUUUUGAAAUUUGUGCUAAAUUCUGCUACGGAAUGACUGUUACUCUCAAUGCUUACAAUGUAGUAGCUGCUCGUUGUGCAGCUGAGUACCUUGAGAUGACUGAGGAUAUUGAUCGAGGGAACCUUAUUUUCAAAAUUGAGGUAUUUCUGAACUCUAGUAUUUUCCGAAGCUGGAAGGAUUCCAUCAUUGUUCUUCAAACCACGAAAUCUCUUCUGCCUUGGUCUGAAGAUCUGAAGAUUGUGGGAAGAUGCAUAGAUUCUAUUGCGUCUAAAACCUCUGUGGAUCCUGCAAACAUUACUUGGUCAUACACAUAUAAUAGAAAGUUAUCAGUGCCUGAUAAAAUAGUUGAAGAUGGUUUUAAGUUUCGAGAGAAAAUUGAAUCUGUUCCAAGGGAUUGGUGGGUUGAAGAUAUGUGUGAGCUGGAUGUUGAUCUCUACAAGCGAGUUAUGAUUUCUGUUAAAUCAAAGGGAAGAAUGGAUGGUACAGUUAUUGGGGAGGCACUGAAAACUUAUGCAGUCAGAUGGUUGCCAGAUACAUUUGAUGAAAUGGUUUCUGAUGGUUGUACUUGGAAGUACAAAUAUCUGGUGGAAACACUGGUUUGUUUAUUGCCUUCGGACAAGGGUGUAGGCUGUCCAUGUAGUUUAUUGCUGAAAUUGUUGAAAAUUGCCAUAUUUGUUGGAGUGGAUGAUUUGCCUAGGGAAGAUUUGGUAAAGAGAAUCAGUUUAAAGUUGCAUGAGGCCUCUGUUAACGACUUGCUGAUCCCAGCACAGUCCCCUCAAACCACAUUAUAUGAUGUGGAAUUGGUAAAAUGCCUUGUGAAUCGUUAUAUGACAAAUGAGAAGUAUAGUCAAGAUUUGAGUGUUGAGAAGAAUGACGAUGAUUUUGUUUUGUGGCAUGGGCAUGGAUACGUGUUGAAUGUUGGAAAAAUAAUUGAUGGAUAUCUUUCAGAAAUUGCAAAUGACCCAAAUCUCACCCUUGUCAGUUUUAUUGACUUGUCACAAUCUAUUCCCGAGUCUGCUAGACCAACUCAUGAUGGACUGUACAAAGCCAUUGACACCUAUCUAAAGGAGCAUCCCAGUUUGACAAAGGCUGAAAGAAAGAAGAUAUGUGCACUGAUGGAUGUCAAGAAACUGACAACAGAUGUAUCAACGCAUGCUGCACAGAAUGAGCGGCUCCCGCUUCGUGUUGUGGUCCAAGUUUUAUUUUUUGAGCAGGUCAGAGCAAGUGCUGGUGUUCAAGCUCUUAAAAACAAUACACGUGAUGCUUCAAAUUCAAUGACAAACACGGAUGAAGAAUGUGAGAAAACAGCAGCAGAUGAUAACAACUAUCUCAAGAGACAGAUGAGUAAACUGAAGAUAAAAGAUGAAGAAUUCCAGAAAAACGGAAAACUGAUGAAGAAAAACAGCAAGAACAACAAAAGUGGCCUGCAGUUGCUGCCAUCUCGAUCAAGGAGAAUAUUUGACAAGUUAUGGGUCAUGGGGAAAGGGCAAGGAGAGAACAGAAGCUCAGAGACAUCUGGGAGUUCACAGAGCGCAACAUCAAUGGUUCCAGGAGACACCAAGUCCUCUGGUUCAUCCUCAAGACAAAGGAGACAUUCUAUCUCCUAAGAGAGGAAUUCAAACUUCAUCAGCAGUAAACCGUGAAUGAAAACUAAAAUCUGUUUCAAGUGUAAAAAGUGGUAGGAUUUUGUUUUAGUUGAUAAUGAUGGGUUUAUCUUUUUUAACUUUAUCCUAUCCGGAAAAAUGUAAUAAUUUUUUUUCCUUUUUUAUUGGGUUUUUUCGUGGGGGCUGGCUAGUGUCUAACAUCUGUUGGUUCCAUUAUCAAGAUUAUAUAUGUCUAAUGUGAAUCACGUAGGUUAUCCCAGAAAUAUUGAAUAUUGUUCAUGUAGUAAAAGUUUUUGGGCUUCUUAUUAUGAAUUCUGUUGUAAGCUCCGGCGAAGAUUGAUGUGUGCAGCUUCUGCUUUGAGAUAUUCAAUUGUUGUUCUACAUUAGCAUGUCGUGCAACAAUCUUACCAACAAUUCAUCUUCAAGAAUAACGAUUGGGAUUUUUAUGAUGGCGUUUUCUUUGUGAACUCUGAUUUACUUCUUGUAAUUUGGUUAAUGCGCAAUCGCAAAAUGUACGAAAAGUCGGAGGAAGGAUGAAGGGUUGCUAAUUACAUAAGGCCAUGGAGAUGGAGGUUCACACUGCUACGGAAAAGAUAAAGAAAGAGAAGCAGACGCAAGACAUUCAAUGAUUUGAAGAGCAAAAUGAGACUCAAAAGACGAAGUUAGCAUUGCACUUGCUCUGUUUCUCUUCACCAAUAUUUGCUUCAUGACAGUAGCUGAAUCACAAUGCAAAGACCUACCUCCUCUGCUUCACUGCGUUCUUUCCACCGGUAAUUAUCUUUUCUUUUUUCUGUUCACUCUGGUUAAUAUUCUUCUCAUAGGCCAUGUGCUCCGUUGGUUGGCUGGUAAUUCAACCAAGAAAUUGGAUAUUGUAGCUCAAUACUGGCAGUUACUCGCACAUUCUGAUGAUUCUCAUUUCAGCGAUUGUGGAUAUUCUAGAGAUGACAUGAAAAAGUUCAGAGCAUUUGAAGGUUCGGCCGUUGAUAGAGCCAUAGGGGAUGCCGCAGGUCGCAAUGUUAGUAUCAUGUGUCUUUUCUAUACAUCUGUUUCCAUAUCAAGAAAAUGUCAUCGAUCAUAAAGAAAAUUGCUGCUGUGUUCGUUCAAAGAACCCACUGACCUUGCUUCAGGGAGGCCAAAUGGGAAUACUGUGGCCUUGUUGCUAGGGGAACAGAGGGAAUCAGAUAUAGUCCAUGACAAAGUUUGGAUGUCUUGUAAGGCUCCUAAUUUUUAAAUUUAUUAUUUUGUGAGUAAUAUUAAUAUUUUAAUUUUAUU